rnacentral:rRNA from 1 species
CCUACGGGAGGCAGCAGUGAGGAAUAUUGGUCAAUGGGCGAGAGCCUGAACCAGCCAAGUCGCGUGAAGGAUGAAGGAUCUAUGGUUGUAAAACUCUUUUAUAUGGGAAUAAAGGGAGGAACGUGUUCCGUUUUGUAUGUACCAUAUGAAUAAGCAUCGGCUAACUCCGUGCCAGCAGCCGCGGUAAUACGGAGGAUGCGAGCGUUAUCCGGAUUUAUUGGGGUUAAAGGGUGCGUAGGUGGUUAAUUAAGUCAGCGGUGAAAGUUUGUGGGUCAACCAUAAAAUUGUCGUUGAAACUGGUUGACUUGAGUAUAUUUGAGGUAGGCGGAAUGCGUGGUGUAGCGGUGAAAUGCAUAGAUAUCACGCAGAACUCCGAUUGCGAAGGCAGCUUACUAAACUAUAACUGACACUGAAGCACGAAAGCGUGGGGAUCAAACAGGAUUAGAUACCCGGGUAGUC